ACUGAAUAGAUACCCUGGUAGUCCACGCCCUAAACGAUCACAACUAGUUUUGGGGAGUAUCGACCCUCUCCGAGACGAAAGCUAAACGCGAUAAGUUGUGCGCCUGGGUAGUACGAUCGCAAGAUUAAAACUCAAAGGAAUAGACGGGGACUUGCACAAGCGGUGGAUCAUGCGGCUCAAUUCGAUGACAAACGAAGAACCUCACCAGGGUUUGAAACCCAGACGAAAUCCUUAGGAAACUUUGGACCUCGCAAGACGGCUGGGCAGGUGAUGCAUGGUCGUCGUCAGUUCGUGGCUUGAGUUGUUCCCUUCAGUGGGGUAACGAACGCAACCCGCGUUGCCUGUUUUAUAUGUCAGGCGAGACUGCCCCCUCACGGGGGAGGAAGGUGCGGAUGACGCCAGAUCAGCAUGUCCCUCUGAUAUCCUGGGCUGCACGCA
rnacentral:rRNA from 1 species